CGCGGUCGCGCCGCUGUUCGACGGCAUCGCGGUGACGGGCAGUGCGGGCGAACGCGCGUUGAUCGACGCGGUGUGCGAACGCGCCGGGCCGCGC
rnacentral:tRNA from 1 species